GGGAUCGAUCAAGAGCAGGGAAAACAAGGGUUUACCCUUGUUCUUGCAAAACUCAUCAAUUGACAAAGAAAAAUCAAUGUUAAUCAGCUGCAUGUCUUAAAGUUCCGAUUAUCUAAGCAUACCUAGUGAAGUGGCGUGAAGGAAGAAGGUUCAAAUUCUAAGAAAUCGGAAGGAUCACAAGACCGAGGUAAAUCCUCGACUUAGGCGACUCGGCGAAUUGGAGCGAGCACGUGAUCAAAAUAUGUUUUACUAAGCGCUUCCGCUAGUUUAUGUUAAUGUUUUGGGUCAAAAUACUUUUUGUACAAUUUGUUGGUAGACACACCUUUUAGUAUUUGAUGUUUUGGUUUUAGUAGUAUCUUGUAGAAUGGUAUUGUCUUG